UACGGAGGAUGCAAGCGUUAUCCGGGAUUUAUUGGGUUUAAAGGGUGCGCAGGUUGUUUGUAUAAGUCAGUGGUGAAAGUCUGUCGCUUAACGGUAGGAUUGCCAUUGAUACUGUUGGACUUGAAUAUGGAUGAGGUAGGCGGAAUGUGUAGUGUAGCGGUGAAAUGCAUAGAUAUUACACAGAACACCGAUUGCGAAGGCAGCUUACUAAUCCAUCAUUGACGAUGAGGCACGAAAGCGUGGGGAGUCAAACA
rnacentral:rRNA from 1 species